rnacentral:rRNA from 1 species
UACAGGGGGGGCAAGCGUUGUUCGGAAUUACUGGGCGUAAAGGGUUCGUAGGUGGCCACUUAAGUCAGACGUGAAAUCCCUCAGCUUAACUGGGGAACUGCGUCUGAUACUGCGUGGCUUGAGUGCAGGAGAGGAAUGCGGAAUUCCAGGUGUAGCGGUGAAAUGCGUAGAUAUCAGGAGGAACACCGGUGGCGAAGGCGGCUUUCUGGACAGAUACCGACGCUGAGGCACGAAAGCUAGGGGAGCAAACAGG